UACGUAGGGCGCAAGCGUUUGUCCGGAAUUAUUGGGCGUAAAGAGCUCGUAGGUGGCUGGUCGCGUCUGCCGUGAAAGCCCGUGGCUUAACUACGGGUCUGCGGUGGAUACGGGCCGGCUUGAGGUAGGUAGGGGCAAGCGGAAUUCCUGGUGUAGCGGUGAAAUGCGCAGAUAUCAGGAGGAACACCGGUGGCGAAGGCGGUUGCCUGGAGCUUUGCUGACGCUGAGGCGCGAAAGCGUGGGGAGCGAUCCGG
rnacentral:rRNA from 1 species